ensembl:snRNA U6 U6 spliceosomal RNA
GCGCUUGUUUAGGCAGCACAUGUACUAAAAUUGGAACGAUACAGAGAAGAUUAGCAUGGCUCCUAUGCAAGGAUGACACACAAAUUCAUGAAGCAGUCCAUAUGUUU